GCACUGUUGAAGAGUUCCACAAAAGAACGAAACGGCCGUCCAGUGC
rfam:Schistosoma margrebowiei strain Zambia genome assembly, scaffold: SMRZ_scaffold0000031